rnacentral:tRNA from 1 species
GGAGAGUUGUCCGAGUGGCUUAAGGAGCACGCUUGGAAAGCGUGUAUAUCGCAAGGUAUCGAGAGUUCGAAUCUCUCACUCUCCG